CACGUAGGGCGCAAGCGUUGUCCGGAAUUAUUGGGCGUAAAGAGCGUGUAGGCGGUUCAGUAAGUCUGCUGUGAAAGUCCAGGGCUCAACCCUGGGAUGCCGGUGGAUACUGCUGGGCUAGAGUACGGAAGAGGCGGAGUGGAAUUCCCGGUGUAGCGGUGAAAUGCGCAGAUAUCGGGAGGAACACCGGUGGCGAAGGCGGUUCUCUGGGCCUUACCUGACGCUGAGGAGCGAAAGCGUGGGGAGCGAACAGG
rnacentral:rRNA from 1 species